GGGCUGGGAUGGGGUUAAGGCUGGUGUUAGGGUCGGGGUCGGGGUUAGGGGUCAGAGUUAAGGCUGACGUUAAGGUCAGGGUUUGGGUUAGGGUUAGGGUUAGGGGUUGGGUGUGGGGUUUGGGUUGUAGGAUCAGGGUUAAGGCUGGCGUUAGGGUUAGGGUUUGGGUUAGGGGUCGGGUUAGGGUUGGGGUUAGCGUUAGGGUUGGGGUUGUAGGAUCAGGGUUAAGGUUGACGUUAGGUUCAGGGUUUGGGUUAGGCUUAGGGGUCGGGUUGGGGUUAGGGUGCAGAGUUAAGGCUGACAUUAGGAUUAGGGUUUGGGUCGGGGUUAGGGUUUGGGUUAGGAUUUGCGUUAGGAUUUGGGUGUUGGGUUAUAGUAUCAGGGUUAAGGCUGACAUUAGGGUCAGGGUUUAGGUCAGGAUUAGGGGUCGGGUUGGGGUUAGGGUGCAAAGUUAAAGCUGACAUUAGGUUUAGGGUUUGGGUGUCAGGUUGUAGGAUCAGGAUUAAGGCUGACGUUAGGGUCAGGGUUGGGGUUAGGGUGUUGAGUUAAGGCUGACAUUAGGAUUAGGGUUUGGGUGUAGGUUAGGGGUCAGGUUAGGGUUGGGGUUAGCGUUAGGGUUUGGGUGUCAUGUUGUAGGAUCAGGGUUAAGGCUGACGUUAGGGGCAGGGUUUGGGUUUGGGCUAACGUUAGGGUUAGGGCUAUAUUUUGGGUUUGGGUCAAGGUUAGGGUUAGAGCUAGGGUAAGGAUCAGAUUUAAGUUUAGGGCUAGGGUUUGGGUUCGGGCUAAGUUUAGAAUUUGGCUUGGGGUUUGGUUAGGGUUAGAGUUAAGAUUGGGUUUAGGGUUAGAAUUAAAUUUAGGUUUAGGGUUUGGGUUGGGGUUUGGUUUAGGGUUAGGGUUGGCUUUAUGGUUUGGCUUGGGGUUACAGUGAAGGUUAGGGUUAGGUUUGGGGUUAGGGUGGGGUUUAGGGUUUUGGUUGGGGUUACAGUUAAGUUUAGGGUUAGGUUUGGGGUUAGGGU